GGGGAUUUAGCUCAGUGGUAGAGUGCUUGCCUAGGAAGUGAAAGGCCCUGGGUUCGGUCCCCAGCUCCG
rfam:Rattus norvegicus chromosome 8, whole genome shotgun sequence.